rnacentral:rRNA from 1 species
UACGUAGGGGGCAAGCGUUGUCCGGAAUCAUUGGGCGUAAAGCGCGUGUAGGCGGCUCGAUAAGUCUGCUGUGAAAGUUCAGGGCUCAACCCUGAAAUGCCGGUGGAAACUGACGGGCUAGAGUCCGGAAGAGGCGAGUGGAAUUCCCGGUGUAGCGGUGAAAUGCGUAGAUAUCAGGAGGAAUACCGGUGGUGUAGACGGCUCUCUGGACCGCCACUGACGCUGAGACACGAAAGCGUGGGUAGCAAACAGG